GAUGAACGCUGGCGGCGUGCCUAAUACAUGCAAGUCGAGCGAACGGACGAGAAGCUUGCUUCUCUGAUGUUAGCGGCGGAUGGGUGAGUAACACGUGGAUAACCUACCUAUAAGACUGGGAUAACUUCGGGAAACCGGAGCUAAUACCGGAUAAUAUUUUGAACCGCAUGGUUCAAAAGUGAAAGACGGUCUUGCUGUCACUUAUAGAUGGAUCCGCGCUGCAUUAGCUAGUUGGUAAGGUAACGGCUUACCAAGGCAACGAUGCAUAGCCGACCUGAGAGGGUGAUCGGCCACACUGGAACUGAGACACGGUCCAGACUCCUACGGGAGGCAGCAGUAGGGAAUCUUCCGCAAUGGGCGAACGCCUGACGGAGCAACGCCGCGUGAGUGAUGAAGGUCUUCGGAUCGUAAAACUCUGUUAUUAGGGAAGAACAUAUGCGUAAGUAACUGUGCACAUCUUGACGGUACCUAAUCAGAAAGCCACGGCUAACUACGUGCCAGCAGCCGCGGUAAUACGUAGGUGGCAAGCGUUAUCCGGAAUUAUUGGGCGUAAAGCGCGCGGUAAGCCGGUUUUUAAGUCUGAUGUGAAAGCCCACGGCUCAAUUGUGGAGGGUCAUUGGAAACUGGAAAACUUGAGUGCAGAAGAGGAAAGUGGAAUUCCAUGUGUAGCGGUGAAAUGCGCAGAGAUAUGGAGGAACACCAGUGGCGAAGGCGACUUUCUGGUCUGUAACUGACGCUGAUGUGCGAAAGCGUGGGGAUCAAACAGGAUUAGAUACCCUGGUAGUCCACGCCGUAAACGAUGAGUGCUAAGUGUUAGGGGGUUUCCGCCCCUUAGUGCUGCAGCUAACGCAUUAAGCACUCCGCCUGGGGAGUACGACCGCAAGGUUGAAACUCAAAGGAAUUGACGGGGACCCGCACAAGCGGUGGAGCAUGUGGUUUAAUUCGAAGCAACGCGAAGAACCUUACCAAAUCUUGACAUCCUUUGACAACUCUAGAGAUAGAGCCUUCCCCUUCGGGGGACAAAGUGACAGGUGGUGCAUGGUUGUCGUCAGCUCGUGUCGUGAGAUGUUGGGUUAAGUCCCGCAACGAGCGCAACCCUUAAGCUUAGUUGCCAUCAUUAAGUUGGGCACUCUAGGUUGACUGCCGGUGACAAACCGGAGGAAGGUGGGGAUGACGUCAAAUCAUCAUGCCCCUUAUGAUUUGGGCUACACACGUGCUACAAUGGACAAUACAAAGGGCAGCGAAACCGCGAGGUCAAGCAAAUCCCAUAAAGUUGUUCUCAGUUCGGAUUGUAGUCUGCAACUCGACUACAUGAAGCUGGAAUCGCUAGUAAUCGUAGAUCAGCAUGCUACGGUGAAUACGUUCCCGGGUCU
rnacentral:rRNA from 1 species